GGGGGGGGGGGGGGGGGGGGGGGGGGGGGGGGCUGGAAGGUGCUGGAAGGGGCUGUGCCUCUCCUGGGUGCUGCAGCCCUGGGAUGGGGCUGUCCCUAAGGGAUCACAGGCACUGCAGUCCCUUUGCUUUGUGAAUUCCCCGAGCACACACCCCAGGUCCUUCUCCACCCCACUGUGUCCCACAGCCCCACUGCUCAUUGUUCCAUGGCAACCAGGAGCUGAACAGGCAAAAACUUCACAUUGAACGAGCACACACCCCUGGUCCUUCUCCACCCCACUGUGUCCCACAGCCCCACUGCUCAUUGUUCCAUGGCAACCAGGAGCUGAACAGGCAAAAACUUCACAUUGAACCUGUGUUUUGUCACAAAUGUAUGAAUGGGAUCUUGUGACUGUAACAUGUUUAGGUCCUGUUAGGCUUCAGUGCAGCAUGGUUACUACUUGAUUUCUGAGGGCAGUGGCAGGAGUGAAUAAGAAUGCUGUGGCCAGUAACGUUAUUGAUGUCAUUGGCAGGUGAUACAAUAAUCCAUGAUGUCAUUGGCAGGUGAUACAAUCAUCCAUGUGACAUACAGAGUUACAGCAAACAGUGUAAGGGUUCAGUAGGGUUGUCCCUGGGCUGAAAUGUGGAGGCCAAAUACAAAGGCUGGGAAAAUGUUCCUUCUGUGUAGGUGUGACACCCACAGAAGCCAAGAUAAUACCAGCAUCAAGGAAAAGCACUUGAAAUUCAGGUGGCUGAAUUGGGCCAGGAGAAAGGAAUACAACAGGGUUACCUCUGACAGCUGCCAAAAACAAGACUGAAGUGUGCUGUGCUGCCGCAGACUCAGUUUGAAAUCAAAGCAGAGGCCGCUCCUGCCACGUGCACAUCAGAGCUCCACGGAGACAGGGAGACGAGGGAGCAAAGCUGAUAUGACAAUAAAGAGUAACAUCACAUCUAACAAGCCAGUGGGAAUGGGAAGCAAGGGGAGGUAGACACUUUAAAGUGUUCUCUGCAGGUGUGAGUUAGGCAUGCUGCAUGUUUUGGCUCCUGGGGGUUGGUACUACAAACAUUUUGAAUUAUAGCCACUUUAAAGGCCGCAGGAACCU
rnacentral:lncRNA from 1 species